rfam:Fukomys damarensis contig76414, whole genome shotgun sequence.
GAGGCUUCUCUCAUGAGUGGCACAUGUGGGCAACUUGCUUGCUUUGUGUGUGGAAUCUAUAUCAAGAGAUUUCAGAAGCAUCAUUUUUUGGUGCUUGGGAAGCUGGUGAUCAUUGGUCUUGGAACUCUU